rnacentral:rRNA from 1 species
AGAGUUUGAUCCGGCUCAGGAUGAACGCUGGCGGCGUGCUUAACACAUGCAAGUCGAACGGGGUACCCAUGACAGAGGCUUCGGCCAAUUGAUUGGAAUACCUAGUGGCGGACGGGUGAGUAACGCGUGAGCAAUCUGCCUUGGAGUGGGGAAUAACAGUUGGAAACAGCUGCUAAUACCGCAUAAUACAGUUGUGUCGCAUGGCACUGACUGUCAAAGAUUUAUCGCUCUGAGAUGAGCUCGCGUCUGAUUAGCUAGUUGGUGAGGUAACGGCUCACCAAGGCGACGAUCAGUAGCCGGACUGAGAGGUUGGCCGGCCACAUUGGGACUGAGACACGGCCCAGACUCCUACGGGAGGCAGCAGUGGGGAAUAUUGGGCAAUGGGCGCAAGCCUGACCCAGCAACGCCGCGUGAAGGAAGAAGGCUUUCGGGUUGUAAACUUCUUUUCUGAGGGACGAUAGUGACGGUACCUCAGGAAUAAGCCACGGCUAACUACGUGCCAGCAGCCGCGGUAAUACGUAGGUGGCAAGCGUUAUCCGGAUUUACUGGGUGUAAAGGGCGUGUANGCGGGAUGGUAAGUCAGAUGUGAAAACUAUGGGCUCAACCCAUAGCCUGCAUUUGAAACUAUCGUUCUUGAGUGUUGG